CUCCACUCUGGGGUAUUGGCUGCUUGUCGGGAGCCCAGAUGUAAUGGACCAUCCUGUCAUUUGACACCUCUGUGCUCUCUACACACUGCCCUGCGAUCAUGUGCAGGUCGUGGUGCCCCUCUACCCCGAUGUGAUGCUGCAGGCAUUCCUCACAGGCCCCUCUGCCUGGAGGGUGAAGGUGGGAAGUUGAACAGGCAUCGUAGCUCCUGGUUAAUCCUUCUGGGGACAAAACGGGCAGCCAACCAACCAAAGCAUCGAAGAAAUGAAUGCUUCAUGGUGGAAUUUUAA